GGGGCCGUAGCUCAGUAGGGAGAGCGCUUGAAUGGCAUUCAAGAGGUCAGGGGUUCGAUUCCCCUCGGCUCCACCA
rnacentral:tRNA from 1 species